rnacentral:tRNA from 1 species
ACUUGAGUAGUUUAGUGAAAAAUUCUGAUUUGUGGUGUCAGAGAUACAGAAGAAAUUUUGUCUUAGGUC